CCUACGGGAGGCAGCAGUAAGGAAUAUUGGACAGUGCUCGCAAGAGUGAUCCAGCCAUGCCGCGUGCAGGAAGAAUGCCCUAUGGGUAGUAAACUGCUUUUGAACUAGAGAAAAUCCCAGUACGUGUACUGGGCUGAUAGUAUAGUUAGAAUAAGCAUCGGCUAACUUCGUGCCAGCAGCCGCGGUAAGACGAAGGAUGCAAGCGUUAUCCGGAUUCAUUGGGUUUAAAGGGAGCGUAGGUGGACUGAUAGGUCAGUGGUGAAAUCUCCGAGCUUAACUCGGAAAUUGCCAUUGAUACUGUUGGUCUUGAGUACAGUUGCUGUGGGCGGAAUAUGACAUGUAGUGGUGAAAUACAUAGAGAUGUCAUAGAACACCGAUUGCGAAGGCAGCUCACAAAGCUGUAACUGACACUGAGGCUCGAAAGUGCGGGGAUCAAACAGGAUUAGAUACCCUGGUAGUCCGCACCGUAAACGAUGAUUACUCGCUGCUAGGGGGCAACCUUUAGUGGCUUAGCGAAGCGAUAAGUAAUCCACCGUGGGAGUACGCCGGCAACGGUGAAACGUCAAAUUGAAUUGCGGNGNGAGAGNGCGACGGACGACGAGAGGGAGGAGG
rnacentral:rRNA from 1 species